AGCUUUCCCUCUCUGCUCAGCGCCCCUUCAGUAAAGCGGCAGGAGAAGCGGAGCCCCUUCCAUUUCUCCUCCUGCUUUGCGGAAGGGGUGCUGUGCAGAGAGGGAAAGCU
rnacentral:miRNA from 1 species